AACGAACGCUGGCGACAUGCCUAACACAUGCAAGUCGAACGAGACCUUCGGGUCUAGUGGCGCACGGGUGCGUAACGCGUGGGAACCUGCCCUUAGGUUCGGAAUAACUCCCCGAAAGGGGUGCUAAUACCGGAUAAUGUCUUCGGACCAAAGAUUUAUCGCCUUUGGAUGGGCCCGCGUUGGAUUAGCUAGUUGGUAGGGUAAAAGCCUACCAAGGCGACGAUCCAUAGCUGGUCUGAGAGGAUGAUCAGCCACACUGGGACUGAGACACGGCCCAGACUCCUACGGGAGGCAGCAGUGGGGAAUAUUGGACAAUGGGCGGAAGCCUGAUCCAGCAAUGCCGCGUGAGUGAUGAAGGCCUUAGAGUUGUAAAGCUCUUUUACCCGGGAUGAUAAUGACAGUACCGGGAGAAUAAGCUCCGGCUAACUCCGUG
rnacentral:rRNA from 1 species